rnacentral:rRNA from 1 species
GAUGAACGCUGGCGGCGUGCCUAAUACAUGCAAGUCGAGCGAACAGACGAGGAGCUUGCUCCUCUGACGUUAGCGGCGGACGGGUGAGUAACACGUGGAUAACCUACCUAUAAGACUGGGAUAACUUCUGGAAACCGUAGCUAAUACCGGAUAAUAUAUUAAACCGCAUGGUUCAAUAUUGAAAGACGGUUUUGCUGUCCCUUAUAGAUGGAUCCGCGUCUCAUUAGCUAGUUGGUAAGGUAACGGAUUACCAAGGCAACGAUGCGUAGCCGACCUGAGAGGGUGAUCGGCCACACUGGAACUGAGACACGGUCCAGACUCCUACGGGAGGCAGAAGUAGGGAAUCUUCCGCAAUGGGCGAAAGCUUGACGGAGCAACGCCGCGGGAGUGAGGAAGGUCUUCGGAUCGUAAAACUCUGUGAUUAGGGAAGAACAAAUGGGUAAGUAAAUAUGCACGUCUUGACGGUACCUUAUCAGAAAGCCACGGCUAACUACGUG